AGGAAGGUGGUCGAGUGGUUUAAAACAACGGUUUGCUAAAUCGUCGCAUAAAAACUAUUUUAUGUCAUGGGUUCGAAUCCCAUUCUUCCUA
rnacentral:tRNA from 1 species